CCCACGGGACUCAGCAGUGAUAAAAA
rnacentral:piRNA from 1 species